CCGACCCCAAUGCAAUACCUUGCACCUGGUGUUACUGAACCUCCUUUGGUUCAUAUGGGCCCAAUUUUCAAGCAUGUCCAGGUCCAUCUGGGUGGCAUCUCACAUCUUCUCUCACAGUGGGAGGGAUUAUGCUUCUCAGACUGCACCUAAUGGUUCAGGGAUGUGAGGUUCAGAGAUGAAAGGAACACAAGAAACCUGGCCGUCAGUGAGAACUGAGAUGUCUUCACCUGAGCUACUCUAAACUGGUCUCAGCAGAAAUCCCCAAGGCAAUCCCUUGAAAUGCCUUUCUACUGGGAACAUUUUGCAGGAGAACCACUUACCACAGGGAAGGUCUGACUCCCACCUCUCAUCCUUGGGGUGACAUGGCUUCUAAUCCACCAGUUACCUGUUGCGGAGUGGCUGCAGGGUACAUCAGUCCGUCAGCAUUCUGGAGUAUCUGUUCUUCUGCAAAAAUACAGCUUUGGCCUCCACUCCAUAAACCUGAGCGGCAUAGGUUAUUCUUGUAUAAGGAACCUUUCCAUUCAUUUACAUCAGUGCAUAGGUUGUUUAAGUUAGCUCAGCUCACCUCUGAUUUAGAUCUUGCUAGAAAGCUGACCUGUUCUUGUUAUUUAUUAUCCUUUCAAUUGUUGUGCUCUCUGCAAAGCUCAACAGCAAUAACUUCAUAUGAUCUUCUGGUUCACUGACUCUUUUUCUUUUCUUGUUAUCAUUUCGGAGGCCUUUAUCAGUUUUCCACUUCUGUGAUUUUUAAGUUUUACGUGUUUAUUGCCUUGUUAAUUAUCCUGGAAAGGGGUGGGGAGAAAAGAGAGAGGAGAAAAAAUAGAAUACAAGUGCAUCUGUUAUUAAUAUGUAAUGGAUACAGAAAUGUCCCAAUUGUUCACCACCAAAUGUUAUCAUUCACAACAGUAACUUCCAAGGCAAUGUGUUACUGAAGUGUGGUGAGUGCAAGAUUCAAAGCACAGAUCUGCUUUCUGUUGCCUUUGACUUUACAUGACUCUGUUCACUCAGAGAUAAUUGCAAACACAGACAUUCAGUGAGUGGAAAAGGAUGCACCAGAAAGAUAUGCAUCUGAUUUUUCUGGGCUGCUAAGGUA
ensembl:lncRNA